GAAAGCUGUGGGGAUGCGUGUGUUUGUACGUGUCACCGGGACGAGCCAUGUGUGGACCGCUGCUGCAACCUGUGCUGUCAGGUCUGUCUAGACGGCUGCUGUCUUAUUUGCUCGGAUGACUGUCGAUAUACUCUGUGUUUCAUUUGCACAAGGGUGGCAGACUCUUGUGCUGCAGUUCUGACCGUUGAACAGCCCAGAUCUACAAUGAAACAAACAGAAGGUUCUGCUUUGGAAGGAGGCCAGUUGGUUUAAAUCACCCACUGAAACAUAAUGGAAGCUGAUGUUUUGGAUAAAGAGCCCUUUCCUACAUCAUGAUGCCAUUUUCUGUACAGAAAGAGACUGAAAAUAUAAGAAGAAACUGUUCUUUCUUACUGCAGUACAUUUGUAGAUUAUUUGCUACCUCUGUAAGUUCACCCAUGUGCCAUUGUAUAUAUGCAGUAUUGUGUUAUUCAUAUUAAAGUGAUUGUGUGAAUUAUUAUGUGUCUGAAGCAUCUAUCGAAAAGUAAAAACACUUGUGCACUCAUGCAAGAACAGGAAGGAAAAAAAGGGUUUGUUUGAUGUAGUUUGCUCCAGAAUGACUGACUCUCAGAGGACGAGCAGGAAAAACUUGAUUUGCACACCCUGUGGAACCAGCUGUCACAGAGGUACAGUAUUUAUAUGGGUCCACCCAAGACGUACGACAGACCAGCCCUGUCAACCUCACGACAACUCAGCCUCGUGAUUGAGGAUUUUAAUUUCUUCCCGGUUUCAAGUGGGACUCGAGACAAAAAGCAAAAUUAAAGGAAAAGAAGAAGACUCUAAACGUCUGAAGACACUUGAAAAGGUCUGAACUAGGUUACCAGCCAUGGAGGAGGAGUACAAGAGCCCCCCACCAUCCUAUGAAGAGGUUAUAACCCAGCAGCAGACAAGCAACACCAAGCAAAGCCAGUCGGCUGAUAGGAGCCAGAACGCAUGCUGCAGGUGCUGUAUGAGCACCAGGAACUGUCUGAUGAGCCCUGAGUGUGGACGAGCUCUCAACAUCGCCAGUGUUGUCGCCAUGUGCGGCAUGUGCAUACGAAUGUUUGUCUAGGGCUGUGUGCCAUCUCUUCCAGAUCUCUCAUCCAGUGGUGUUCUUCUCAAAUUAAGAGACAAACAAAGACGUUUACUGUGUUCCAAGCCCAAAUGAUCUGCAACAUUUAUAAGCUCCACAUGACCCAAUGCCAAUUCAAAUGCUGUCGAAAAUAGCAGGCAGCACUGCGUACUUCACAGAAAAUCUCACAAACACACUGUGACCAAAGAUGACCAUCUAAAAUGGGAAAUGUCAAAUACUAAUUGUUGUUUAUAUAUACAAAGUAGCUGUUCAAUCAGCACUGACACAUAUUGUUGUAAAAGAGUCUUUUUUCAUGUGUUAAGUUUAGCAACAUGCUAACAUAGCUAGCUUCUAUAAGCGACAUGUGCAUUUUUUGGGUGUUUAAACUAUAGAGUGAUAGUUAACUUAUUCAUGAACUAGCACCUUAAAUUUGUAAAUACUGUGUAAUAUUGGGAUGUGUUUCAGUCAGAGACCGUUAACAUACAUGUUAUAUAUCUGAUAUAGAGAAUUAAGGCAUGGUUACAGUUUUGUUCUGCAAAUUUUUACAGAUGAAACAAUAAUGGUUUCAGUCAUUUCUGCAGGAAUCCGCACAAUAUGGAAUUUUACUUCAGGGUGAAAGAUUUACCAAGGAUUUUGAAGCAG
rnacentral:lncRNA from 1 species